ACUCCGGUCCCCUCAAACCUGUCCGUGGCUGGCAGCCCUGUGAUACCUCGCCACAUUCUGCAACAGAAUCCGAGAUAGAGGUAGAAGUGGGGGAGUACGUCGUGGCUGUCAGGGCAGCUUUCUGUAAAAUGCUGCCUGGAGGAGCAUGUGAUUCCAGACCCUCCUCUCUGCAACGAAAGUGAGGUUGACACCUGCAGGCCUGGGGCCUCCUGGCCCACUGAGCAGAACACACAGAAGCUGGGCCCACCCCUGCCCUCCCCACAAAGGGUCACGGGAGCCACCGCCUGACUUUGAAGCCCACUGACUUGCGGCUGACAAGAGAAAAGACAGGGUUUCAUUCUUGUUGCUCAGGCUGGCGUGCAAUGGCGUGAUCUCGGCUCACUGCAACCUCUGCCUCCCAGGUUCAAGAGAUUCUCCUGUCUCAGCCUCCGGAGUAGCUGGGAUUACAGAUGUGUCUUAGGUAACAGAGCAUGGGACAGAGCCACUGCAGCCAUGCCCAGGGAGGGCCGGGGUGAGUAAGCAUUGUGAGGUUUUGGGCAGAACGUGGCUGCACUGUGCACGCGGUGAGGGAUCGAAGGGGGCCCCCAAAGACACUCGAAGAACAGUGGGGGCCCUGAAAAGUGCCAAUGCUGAGCCCAGACAGAUGGAAGACCUUGGACAAAUUCCCCGACACCCCUGAGCCUCGAUUUCCUCAUCUGAAAAGUGGGGUGGUGAUGACAGCACAUCUCAGAGGGCUGGGAGGACGAAGCCACCAAGUGACAGCUGCGAUGGAUCCACAGGGGCAGCAGCCGAGCAACCCGAGAUCUGCAGAGCCAUGGUGGGCCCAGCCCCAUCCUGCCCCCCAUGCAGCCAGUGAGAAGCCCUGCUGCUGGAGGGGAUGGAGCUACGGGGACCGAUCAAUUACACCACAGUGUGAGGUCUCUGUGCCUUCCA
rnacentral:lncRNA from 1 species